GUCCACCAGCCUUCUGAGUCAGCCCUGCCUCUCCUGGGGCGCGCGACUUUUCUGUUCAUACUGACCCUUAGGAAUCCAGGAAGCCUUCUCUGUUUAACAGCCUGACCAGCCUUUGAUGUCUAUACCGACUACUCACCCCCACCACAGCUCGCUCUCUCUCACACUGUCUACACUGACUUCUCAGUCCCACCACCUCUCGGUCUACACAUGCUGUCUACACAGACCCUAACUUCUAACCCUAAUAGAAGAGAUUUGGCCAGAGGCGUGUGGGACCCCCAAUGAGGGCUUUUCCAUUAUGCUAGAAUAUUUCACUCUGGGCACAGUCUUCUCCACCCCGACCGCUCUCCUAAUCUGGUUUUUAUUCCCCGACCUCUCCCUCCUCCCCUACAUCCCCUUUACCUGGUUUUGAGUUUCAGAGGAAAUAUCUGUACCUGCCCUCCUCCUCCACCCCUGUCUGAAUGUAAAGGCCUGAGGGCCCAAUCCUCAUCCUCCACCCUCCCUCCGCUCCCCCGGGUAAAGGCCUGAGGCCUGAGGCCUUGCUAGAAAUUGGAGUUGGGGUGCUGUAGGUAGUGUGGGGAGCUGGCUGUGGGGGCCCAGCUGGGAGGAGCUGGCCUGGGGAGGGCUUUGCCAGUCCUUGCCUCCAUCUACCAGGGCCAAGGAGGACUGAGCCGGUAAAUAUUUUCUUCUCAGCUCCCCCCCUGUGAUGUCUGAUCCAGGCCUCUGCUCUCCUUGGCUGUAAACUCAGCGCACGGAUUGUGUCUUCUUUAAUAUUUUGUAGGAAGCAGAGUACAGUGUCGUGGCUGAUAAAUAAUAAAUAAUAAUAAUCUACUGAGGGUAGCAGGAGCACUGUCAGAAAUGGAAUGAGGACGCCGGGGAAAUGGCCCACUAGUGUCAGAAUAACUGCAUUUCCUGGAAAAAACAUCCAACAGAGUUUGUGUGUGUGAAGCCCGGGACUCAAGGGAGGGGACAGAGCGGAGCACUUCAGGGAGGAAGCCACCCUUCAUGAGGACGACAGCCAGGAAAACUGGCGUGACCUUAAGAGAGGGUGACAGAGGUGCCGAAAAGGGGAGCAGGAGUGGGGGGGAGGGGGAGAAAAGCUCCCCAAGGGUCCUCAGACAACACCUGAAGGUGAUCGAUAGCUUUGGUUUGAGUACUAUGUCCUUCAAAUGGUAUAUGAAAAGUGAUAGAAGAGUACUAGAUAGCAAAAUGGAAAAAAGAGGGAUUUCUUGGGAUUUCAAAUUGAUACACAGGUCAACCCAAUGCAAAAAGAAGGAGAACAAAGCCACAGGCGUGUGUCUGUUCAUCCACGCUGUAGGAAGCUGUCCUCUGAGAUAAUCUCCAUGGAUGCACUGACUGUGAACAUGCAGAAGUCCACCCAGCCGUAUUCUGGAGUAGCGCCCUAUGUGACAGCUGUAGGCACUACAGAAAUGUGGCCAAGGUUUGCAGGGUCUGGGAUAGGUUAAGAUCUGGCAAUGUGAGGCACUCACAGUGUCUUACAGAUGAUUUUGAAUGAUCCUCAGUUGAAAGAAGAAAAUAGGAACUCCAAGAAUCCUUAUUCAGCUACCUCUCCAGAUGAAGGAGAAAGGAUGCUCCCAAUUUCCCUGCUGGCAGCAUCAGAAAAGAGAGCUGUGCUGAGGUCUUAUCCAGAGGAGGACCUACUCGGGCCAUGGUGGUGCGAAGGGCGCUGGUUCUGGGGCACCGCAAACUCUUCAGGGCUGAAGUUUGGUAACAGCUCACCAGGGGAGCCAGCUUGUCAGGGAGAAUGAGAAAAGCUGUGUGAAUUAGACUCCCAGUGGGCUUGUCUACCCUGUCCUCACCCAUCCUCGUUUUAUCCAAGGCUUCCUCGUCAUUGAUGCUCUGCCCUGCUGGGAGCUGUUUAGUGUGGACACAGCCAUUUAUGAAGGGUCUGCGCUGGUCUGCAUAUGAGUUCCAUUUCAGAGUGCUGUUGUUCACAUGAUCUGUCCCAGCGCAUCUAGUGUCUUGGCAACAUAAACUGGAUUUGCAUUGUGUCAGGGGUCUCCUCUCUCUCUCUCUCUACGUAGAUCUUGCUGGUGUCUGGGAUCUUUUUUGGGUCAUUCUUUGCUCUACUCUGUGGCCCAUGGGAUGGGCCCCAUGACUGGCAUGGAUCUCUCUGUGUGGUUCAUGGGACUCGUGUGUUGUGCCCAGAAACCUCUUACACCAUGGUCAAAGAUUUCUCCAUGAAACACAGGAUUGACUUGGUGGUGUGUUCUCCAAAAGCCAACCCUCCCUGUCCUGAGCCCCAAUCUGGGCACUGGGAUCAGGACUAAUGUGUACACUCCAAGCAGAUGGGUAGUGAAGGAGCGGACUCAUAGUGCAUAGGGAAGUGGACUGGAACACUCCAGGACAUCCAUUCCCCGCUCAGAUCAUAGACCAUUAUCUGUGCAGUCAAUCAGACAAGGACUUGUACUGGAAAGGCCACCAUCACCCAAGGAGGAACCAGAGGAAGUCACAUCAGGAACACCUGGGGUGCCACAUAAACCCACAGUGGCCAAGGUGGACUUCUGUCCUUGUCUGUGUUUAUGAUAAUAGCCACAACAAAAGGACCUUUACCCAGUGGCUACUAUAUGUCAGGCACUGUACCAAGAACUCUACCCAUGAUAUCUUGUUAAUCCUCACAGCAACCUGUGGAAUUGGUGUUAUCAGCCCCCAAAACUGAGUUCCAGAGAGGGUAGAUGAGAACCUGCAAUCACACAGUAAGUGACAGUGCUGGAAUUUCAGCCUGAUUGUCCCAAAGCCUCUGUUCUUUUUACCCCACCAAACACACAAAUGCAGUUUCUUUUGUCAUUAGCCCAGUGCUUUUCCCUUGGAGUAGAUACAGUAGAUGCUGAUUUUUGCCUUCAUCAGCAAAAGUCUUUACCCCAGACACAUAACUGGAGAUCAGUCAUAGAACAGAGAGCACUAAUGUAGAAGGGCACAGGUCCCUUUGAUUACUGAACACUCAGGUCACUCGGAAGAGUGGAAGCCUCAUCAGAAACCUUCGGGUUUGACAGGACAUCUGUUUCCAGGAGCACGGUGGGUGUAAACAGAGCAGCUGCCAGCCUCUGUCCUGGUUGGGGUUUUGUGUUUGCUGGUUUUUCUUUUUUUUUUUUUUUAAACACAUUAUACUCUAUUAAAACCACCCCUAUUUGGCAUCAAAAGCAUUAAUAAAUCCCACAUAAGGCACAGUCCCUCCAGUGGUUAAUCAAUCCAUAAAAAUCUAUUUAGCACCUACUGUGUGUCCAGCAUUUCAAUCCCAUGACGUUGAUUAAAGCAGGAAGUAAGGAGUCACAGCUGCCAAAUUUUCACCAUGGCCACCGUGCUCUGUGAUGUGUCACAAAGGCAUUUGCCAAUCAUGCAAUCAACCAUUUACUGAGAACCUGCUUUGUUGCUCAACUCUGUGCUGGCGACUCUCAGGAAGACAGGGAAGGGAUCUUGGAAGCCCCAUGUUGAAGGUGGCAGAGCAACAAAAAUUGAGGAAACCCUGAAUCCCUGAAUUACUAUUUGGAGAUGACCACCCACUAAUUCGGAACACUCAUUAUUGGGCUUUAGGAGAAUGAGAAGUUCUAUCAUGUUUGAGACUCCGUACAUCUUUGGAUUUGUUUUAACAGCUAGUUUUACCCUGGCUAACAUGGCAAUUGACAGCCUCUGAGAGGAGAUUUGGAGAAUCUGCUUUUUUAACAAGUACUCCAGGGGAGUUUGAGAAUCACUGCUGAAAGCCAAGGGGAGCCAGCCACCCAAGGAUUUAACGCUGACCAAGGAACACCACGCUAUUUGCAUUUUAGAAUGACAGCAAGGGAGCAGAACUCUGCCCCCUUCUUGUCUGCCAAGGAGAACAAUCUACUGACUCAAAAGAAAAAGAAAACUUUGGUAAGAGAAAAUUGAAGCUCUAGAUGAGUGAAAAGAUUCUAACAGCACCAAGCUGCCGUAAAUGAGCUCAAGUCUCCUGGCCAGGACAAAUUACACUCCAGGGAGUAGAGAGAACUCGCCUCUGAAGCUGUAAAGCCUCUGCUGAUAAUCUUUACAGAACAUGGAGACUGUGAAAGAAAUUGGAACGCUAGAAAUGGCAAAAUAUAGCUCUGAUUAGUAAAGAGGGGGAAAGCUUCUGCAAACUACAAAAGUGGGGCUAUCCUAUCCAUCCUCAUUAAAUUCCCUGAUCAGACUACUUAAGGCUGAGCUGUGAGUACGUGAAAAAUGGAGCAGAAUCCUCUAGAAGCCUGUGUGGGUUCUUUAAGAGCAAGCCACGACAAGAUGAAAAAACAAGAGCCUAAAGAAGGGAGGCAACUUUUCCAAAGCCACACAUUAAACCUGUGGCAGUUAAGAGCCAGAACUGUGGUAUCCUGGCCCUCAGCCCCACACCUCUACUGCAAUACCUGGGAUGUGGGCCCAUGGAUUGAUUUAUGGAUUUUGACUAACAUAUCUUCAAUUGAGCAAUCACUCGGAUGAUCGAUUGAACACUCCUUCACCAAACAAGGCUGGAGGCCUGGGAUGGACGCCGGUGGUUUGAGAUAUGCAGAAGAAAUGGGUCCUGCCCUCCGGAACACUCCAGAGAAUAUCAUGGCACUUUAUAACAUCAGUGUCAAUCAGCAUUGAUUGACAAGCCCCCUGGACUUUGGAUGACUUCUCUGAAGCCCCAGCUGUGCCUGGCUGGGCCAUCUCCCUUCUCCACUUGGCCACAGCAUAAACUGCAGUCAAGCCACAGGAGUGACCUCAAGGCCUCAGGCCACUUUUCCAGCCUCAGCUUUUCUUAGGGGCCCAGCCCACUUACAAUAGAAAUUUGCCAAAGACUGGGUUGGUAAGUAAUGGAUAAGUUUUCAUAUUUACUAUUUUCAUUUCUGAAUCUCUCUUUACAUGCAGUUAAGCCAGGAAAUCCUGAAAGAACACUCUUCAGAAUGUUUUUAAGUAAAACAACAAGUUUCUGUUAAUUUAGGGCCAACCCAUGAGUAAACAGAUAGAGCCUGAGGUAUUCUGCACCCUGUAAUUUGUGGACUUCUUAGGAUCUUUUAAAAUAAAGAUGAAUAGUGGG
rnacentral:lncRNA from 1 species